GGCAGCGUGGUGCGGUGGAAGCACCUGGCGGCUAUCAAGCCGUGAGGUCAAUGGAUCGAAACCAUCAGCUGCCG